UACCGAAAAUAUGUACAGUAAACUAGAAAUAAAAGAUUAUUGGGGCGAACGUUAUCGUUAUUGGCACAACAUAUAAUAUUGAGGACUGUGACCUUAGGCAUCAACUAUUUUAUUGGUUCUGAAAAAUUUGGCAACUAAAAAUUAUAUUAAUUUUAAAUGAUAUUAGUCCGAUUAGUUUUUGCUAAACUUUGGCAGACCGAUAAUUUCGGUAUUAUCUUUAACGGAGAAGAGAUUGAGAAAACCAUUAAUUUUUGUCUUCAUCG